rnacentral:lncRNA from 1 species
CGGAAUUUAUUCAAGCAUAUAAAACAGUCUUAUUCUUGGGCACGAAGGCCUCAUCAUUAAUAUCUCAUACAAAUCCAAUCAACAUCUUAUUUAUGAAAAUUCAUUAAGCAAUACGUAAGGAAUAGAAAAGCAUGCAACAAAGUUCUCAUCCCGUUACGUAUCAGAGCACCUAAAGACACACGUGGAAGAUAGUCCACUCACGACAGCAAUCUAACAACAACUUAUUCUCGAUCACCUGCAAGUUACUCAUACGAAGAGCAACAUUUCCAAGCAGAAGAGGUGAGAUUUCACAUUCAAUAAUAAUAAGCAUAUAAUUCAUCAAAAGCAUUUAACGUCUUAAACUUCAUCAAUUAGUAACAUUAAAUUUUCUUAUAAUAUUUCAUUAAUAACUCAAUAAACUUCUAAUCAUUAUUAACUUCAUAUUCAUCGCAUUAUAUACAUCAUCACUUAGCACAUAAUAAUCAAAUCAUAACCAUCAUCAUAUAACAUCAUAAAUCAUCACAUCAUAAACAUCAUCUUAUAACAUAAACGACACAUCAUAAUCAUCAUCUCAUAAUAACAUAAACAACACAACAUAAUCAUCAUCUCAUAAUAAUAUAAACAACACAACAUAAUCAUCAUCUUAUAAUAAUAUAAAUGACAACAUGAUCAUUAACAUUCCAUGGUUUGUCAUCAACAACAACUUCAACGAAUCGACGACGACAACGUCAACCUGUCAAUACAACUACGUGAGAGUACACCACCUCUUAUAAAACAACAACGUAAGACUCCAAUACUUUGGAACGACAACUUACAACUUAGCCAACUUAAACCAACAUCUGCAACUUGAUCAAUAUUCAACUGCAACAGAAACAACACAAGCAAUUCACAACAUAACAAUAUUAAUGAAAAGCAUCAACAACUUAAACAUCAUACAUUUUUCACAUAAGACAUAUAAUUAUUUCACAUAACCAACAACAUUAAUCAUCUUAAUUUCAGACUCUCUGAAGAACAUUAAUAUUAUAAACAACCUCGUUUCUACCCCCAAGGACCAACUUACAACAUAGGUUAAAUACUCUUAAACACCUUAAUUGAACUCAUAAUACUUCUAGUUUUGAUGUUUGAAAUUAUUCCAUAAGUUUUGGAUUAACUUAGAAAUGGUUAUGCUGAAUUUUCAUAAGAUUUCACUAAGACCUCCUUGGAGUAUUUUCAUUAUAUCUCAAACACCAAAAAUCAUUUUCAAGUCAAACCAAUGCCACUGGAAAGCUAACACAAUUAUCUACAACUUUCAUGUUUACACCAAAAGCCAAUUCAAAACAGAAACGUGUGAAAAAGAUGCAAGAACGCGAAACAGGGGAUGCUGUCAAAGUGCAGCUCGCGAGGCGAGCAAGUUUACUCGCUGUGGCGAGUUACGACGGACAAAUCUACGGGAACAGACCAGAUUUCACUCCAAAAGCCCCAAUUUCAUCAACCCAAAUUUGAUAGGAAACUCAACCUAUGUUUAUUCUACAGCCUGAACUUUAAUUCUUAUGUUAAUUCAUUGAAUUACCUACUCUUUAACAAUCAAUUCCAAACCAAAACCUAAUAUUUCUCUAAUAAUCAAAAUUACCACCUACAUCAUGUUAAAUCCAGUUUUCAGAAUUAAAAUACUUAGAAUUAGAGAAAGUUAGUCCCACCCUUACCUUAGUAUUGAUGAUCGGCGAUCUUUCUCCCUCUUGGUUCUCCUCUUCUCUUGUUUUCUCCCUUUUCUCCAAAACUGGUUGUACGUGAAAAAUAAUUCUAAACCUAGUUUCUCCUAUUUAUCUCUUCCCAUCUAUUUUAUCUUAUUUUCACUUAAUCCACUAAACUCUCUAAAUUCUCAAAACAGCCCCAGAAUCUUAAUCUUAUUUCUAUUUUCAAGAUUUAUUAUAUUAAAUAAUAAAAUAACACUACUUAAUAAAAUAACAACACACCACAUAAUCAUUUAAAUCACAUAAAUACUAAAAUAAGCCACUUAAUAAAUCACAUAAUCAUAUAAAUAUAUUUUAAACCUAUUAAAAUAAUCAAAUAAUUCAAAGAGGGCGUUACAUGCCACGUCAUAGACGAUUUUUCUUUGUUUCUAUCAUCACCCUGAACGUUACCUUGAUUCUGAUUUUGAGACAUAUCUACAUUAAAAACAAAUGGCGAUCAAAACCUAACUAAACAAUAAUGCCAUAAAAUCAUAAAAUCAAAAACUAAACAUAAACUUAAACUAUCAUCAAAACCUACACCUAAACCUAAACAAUUAUAACAAUUCUACAACGAUUCAUCAAAACCUAAACCUAACAAUUCAAUAAAAGUUCUCUAACAAUUCUAACCAUUCUAACCUAAACUAUCCUAACAUAUCAUAAAAUCAACAAAUCAAUAUAGUCGAACCUAUAUAAUCGAAAUUUAACAAAAAAAAAAAAAACAAUUCAACCGCAAAACAACAAUGCAAUAGGAUUAAAAAAACUUACUUGUUUUUGUGAUUGAAAUUGGCUGAGAAUGACUUGAAAUAGCUCAAAAUCGCACCUUGGAGAUCAAAAAAUGUAACAAUGGAGUUUUGGAAACUCCUAUGCCUAUUCUGUUCUUAUAACAUUUUUCUCGGCAGUUAAUUGUCGAGGUUAGG